UACGUAGGCAGCAAGCGUUGUUCGGAGUUAUUGGGCGUAAAGGGUGUGUAGGCGGCUGGAUAAGUGUGGUGUGAAAUCUCCCGGCUCAACUGGGAGGGUGCGCUACAAACUGUCUGACUCGAGUGUGGGAUGGGUAAGUGGAAUUCCUGGUGUAGCGGUGAAAUGCGUAGAUAUCAGGAGGAACACCGAUGGCGAAGGCAGGUCUCUGGGCCACUACUGACGCUGAGAAGCGAAAGCAUGGGGAGCGAACAGG
rnacentral:rRNA from 1 species